UAUCUUAGUGGCGGACGGGUGAGUAACGCGUGGGUAACCUGCCCCAUACCGGGGGAUACCACCUGGAAACAGGUGCUAAUACCGCAUAAGCGCACGGGAGCGCAUGCUCCUGUGUGAAAAACUCCGGUGGUAUGGGAUGGACCCGCGUCUGAUUAGGUAGUUGGUGGGGUAACGGCCCACCAAGCCGACGAUCAGUAGCCGACCUGAGAGGGUGACCGGCCACAUUGGGACUGAGACACGGCCCAAACUCCUACGGAAGGCAGCAG
rnacentral:rRNA from 1 species